rnacentral:misc_RNA from 1 species
UGGCUCUCGCAUCGAUGAAGAACGCAGCGAAAUGCGAUAAGUAAUGUGAAUUGCAGAAUUCAGUGAAUCAUCGAAUCUUUGAACGCACAUUGCGCCCCUCGGUACUCCGUGGGGCAUGCCUGUUCGAGCGUCAUCUAAACCCCUCAAGCUCAUGCUUGGUGUUGGGCGUCUGUCCCGCCUCCGUGUUGUGGACUCGCCCCAAACUCAUUGGCAGCGGCCUCCGCCUCCUCUCGCGCAGCACAUUGCGCUUCUCGGGGUAUUGCGGUCCGCGUCCACGAAGCCCUUUAACUCUUUGACCUCGGAUCAGGUAGGGAUACCCGCUGA